AAGAUUUCAUAUUGCCUUAUUAACCCAGUCCUGAACUGAGUUCUAAAAUUAAUGGGAAUGAUUUUAUUUGCACAUAGAUGAAUGGUAGCCACAACAAGACCAACAUUUUUGAGUUUCUCUUUUCUCUUUCUUUGUUUCACGAAAGAUGAGAGGAAGAGAAAGAAAGGAUGAUAGCUCCAGAGCCAUGAAUCUUUUUCCUGCUGCUGCUAUUUCCUAGCUCUCCACUGUCAGGAGCCAUUGCUUUAUACUUCGGUGGCUCUCUUUACCGAGUUUUAUUUGUUUAAUGUGUGUAGGCUCUUAAAAAAUACUUGUAUCUUCUUAGCCGUUUAUCAGAUAUGCAUUUUCACUCCCAUUAGACCAGUGCUCUGGGUGGAAUUAUGAUUUAGGGCAUGCAAGGAUAAACUGCGUCAGCCUCUGUGUAUGGCUUUCCCUGGCUGAUGCUAAGCUGUGAAGAUCACUACUGAAAGUAUUUAAGAACUAGUCAUCUGUGAAAUGUUAUCCAGCUUGAAGCUUAGGCAAUACUUCUCAAUUAUCUAUUGAUUCACAUUACUAGACUUUGUGUGGAAAUCAAUAUAGGUAUUUACAAAUAAGGUUUUGUUGUGGUUCUCAUUCAUUUGCUUGCUUGUUUUUCGAAGUGAGCUGGCCAGAUGUGUUCAGUAUACUCUGGGAUGAAAGGUAAAUUCACUGUGUGUUACCAUAGAUGUGCAAGCCUGUCAUGCUAACGUGUUUCAUGCCAUAGGAAACUUUCAUAUCUGCUGAGAUGAGGAUAUGUGGUUAGGCAUAGUGCAGCAUUCUAGAAUAUAGUUCCCUAAUGAGGUGUAUGAAGAGUCCUGAUUUUGGAAUUAACAAGACCAAUUUCCUUUAUAGGAGAAACCAUGGACAAGAGUACUUUCAGUUCUCCACACCUUCCAGAAAUGUUUGUCUAACAAAGGUGUAUUUUGUCCAAAAACUUUUGAUAGCGGGAGGACUCAAGAUGGCACUGUGAGAACAACCCAGGAUUAG
rnacentral:lncRNA from 1 species